UGGGGAAUCUUGCGCAAUGGGCGAAAGCCUGACGCAGCAACGCCGCGUGGGGGAUGAAGGCUCUCGGGUUGUAAACCCCUUUCAGCAGGGACGAAAAUGACGGUACCUGCAGAAGAAGCCCCGGCCAACUACGUGCCAGCAGCCGCGGUAACACGUAGGGGGCGAGCGUUGUCCGGAAUUAUUGGGCGUAAAGAGCUCGUAGGCGGCUCGGUAAGUCGGGUGUGAAAUUCCAGGGCUCAACCCUGGAACGCCACCCGAUACUGCUGUGGCUAGAGUCCGGUAGGGGAGCGUGGAAUUCCUAGUGUAGCGGUGAAAUGCGCAGAUAUUAGGAGGAACACCAGCGGCGAAGGCGGCGCUCUGGGCCGGAACUGACGCUGAGGAGCGAAAGCAUGGGGAGCAAACAGGAUUAGAUACCCCCGUAGUCC
rnacentral:rRNA from 1 species